CUGAGCCCUGAGGCCGCGGGCAGCGAUGGGGGCGCGGACCGGAAAGAGGGUUCGUCUCUGCGCAGCACCCCAAAAGACUCUGCCCCGCCCCAGUAUCCUUCCUCAGUCUCGGCCUGUGAUUGUGUCCCCUCGGCUUGAUCCUGGGAUGAAUUCUGGUGGGCAGAGUGAAAACUGAAGAUUGGCCCGGAGACAGUGCCACUAUUGAGCUUUAACUUUGUUCCAAGGAACAUUGUGACCUGACCUAGGUGGACAGCUGCAAGAACAAAGGAUUCCUACACCAAGAAGUGUGCAACAAACAACCAUGCCCCUCCCUCAUCUGGCCUUUAAAAAUGCUUUGCUGACUAUUUACAAUAGCCAGGACAUGGAAGCAACCUAAGUGUCCAUCGACAGAUGAAUGGAUAAAGAAGAUGUGGCACAUAUGUACAAUGCAAUAUUACUCAGCCAUAAAAAAAAACGAAAUUGAGUUAUUUGUAGUGAGGUGGAUGGACCUAGAGUCCGUCAUACAGAAUGAAGAAAAACAAAUACCGUAUGCUAACACAUAUAUAUGGAAUCUAAAAAAAAAAAAAAAAAAGGUUCUG